rnacentral:tRNA from 1 species
AGCAACUUAGCUCAGUGGAAGAGUGCCGGGCCCAUAACCCGGAGGUCGGUGGUUCGAAUCCAUCAGUUGCUA